CCUCCCCUUCUAACUCCUUUAGUGUGCAGUUACAUUUUCAAUACAUGUUGGCUGAGGCCAAAAAUAUUUGCUUUGACUAGGAUUCUCUGACUUUAAGGAUUGGGUCAAACCGGCACUAUAACUUGUUCAUGGAAAUAAAUAUUGCUUCUUCGGUCUAAUCUAAAUUCGUAAUGUCCCUUACAAACAGGAAACAUUAAUUUAUUUUAUUAUAUCGUUAUGGUUAAACAAAAAAGAACUCCUGAGAGAACAGAUUCUGCGAGCAGCUGAAAGGCAGCUGAAUGGAGAUCGACAUCGGUGGUUUUGGGUGAUUUCGGUCCAACAUGUCACCAGGGUCCCCAGCCUCUUGUGCCGCGUCAUGACGCAGCACAAGGUGUACCAAUACUUUCAAUUAUACGUAGAAGAUUAGCAUUUGUUUAUUCUGUUUUCGUUGAAUUUAGAUGCUAAAUUCCAAAGGCUAACUGUUUACUUGUAUUCUCUUACGUCAUGCUCAUGAAUACAAUGACCCUGACGGCCUAUGCAAACGAACAGUUGAGAAACGUCUACCUGCUCCGACCAGAGUCAUGUGUGCGCGCAAACGCAGGAACGCAUCCGCUACACUGCGAGAAAUCCACGUUUGGUUUCUGUUGAACAAAAAUGAAAGUCUAGCUAUCCCUUCAUUAGAAAAGGAUCGGCCCUCCGUUCAAAGUUUUAUUCCGAAACAGCUUCACGGGAUCACUGCCUAUUUUCGAUAUGCAGUCCAUCAAGACGUCUGGGGGUAAAACAGUGGUCUUCUUUGACCUGGAGACCACGGGAUUAGAAACCUGGCGGUGUGAGAUCAUCCAGCUAGCAGCCAUCAGCGGCGAGCGCACCUUCAACGUGUACAUGAUGCCCGAGAUCGCCAUCGACAGAGGGGCCGCGGAGGUCACGGGCUUCAGCGUCCGAGAUGGCGCCCUCCUCCUGCAGGGUACAGCCGUGCCGACCGUCACCUUGACCGAGGCCCUGACCUCCUUCCUUGACUUCCUGCAGUCCUUAGAGCAGCCCGUGCUGCUGGCUGCACACGGCGCCAGACGCUUUGACAAACCUGUACUGGACAGAGCGCUGCUCAGGUGUUCCCUCACCAGGCAGUUCCAGCAGCUGGGCUCCAGAUACUUGGACACCUUCCUACUCAGUAAGGCGCUCUAUCCGAGGAUAGAUAGCUAUUCACAGGUGAACCUGGUGCGGCACUUCCUGGGGAAAAUCUACAAUGCCCAUAAUGCAUUGGAGGAUGUUAGGGCUCUGCAGGAGCUCUACAGUUGUUGGGAUCCCAGUCAAGGGACUUUGAAUCGGUGUGUGUUAUAGCAGCCAAGACAUGCAAUCGAGCGCUUGUUGCCUUAUAUUUACCUUUAGGGCAUUUAGCUUUUAAUACAAAGCGACUUACAAUAAGUACAUUUGUCAUUAGAAAGUCAAACAACAUAUCACUAUCGGUACAAUAAGGAGUUAGCGAAGGAGGGGUUACCGACUUACAACUGCAAUGUUAAUGCGCCGAUAAUGGAUCAACUCGUUUUAUUUGAUAACAUAAUGAUAUAACUGGUGUUCUUAUUGGUAUUUUGGAACGAAUUUAGAUUAGUCUCAAAACCAACUCAUCGUUAUUUAUCAUUCAAGGUCAAUGGAUUGAGGAAAUUAGAUGAACAAGAACAAGUCAACGUGGUUUUCCUCCUACCUGGGCCUAUUGGUAUUGCUAAACAAAUAUUUAGAAUUGCAAUUACGAUACGAUACGAUACAACUUUAUUAAUCCCCCGUCGGAGAAAUGUGUUGGGGCAAUAGACCUUCUUUCCACCACUACCUCCAGACAGUUCAAGUCCUACAACAGAGCUAGCCUUCCUCACCCAGCCUUGAUGCCUCCUCCCCAGCAUGCCCCAGGAAAGCACAGUGUGCUGGCUGCCACAGACUGAUAGAAUAUCUUUAGUAGCCUGCCACACAUGUCAAAUGACCUAUGCCUCCUGAAGAAGAAGAGUCUGCUCUGACACUUCCUAUAGAGGGCCUCUGUGUUGUCUUUCCAGUCCAGUUUAUUGUUCAUGCGCACUGAAAGGAAUUUGUACGCGUCCACUGUCUCUACUUCAACCCCUUGGAUGGUAAUGGGGUUGGGAGCAGGAAGCCCCCAGCCCCCAAAAAACUACGAAUGGAUUACCAAUCCUUUAAGAUUAUGUUCUCAUGUCGGCAGAGGGUCAAAAUAAAGUCACGUUGUGACUCGACAACGUCUAUUGGACUUGUUGACGAUGCAAUUUGAGGAAAAUGUUUGCUAGAAUUUAGGGUAAAGUCGUAUGGUUGUAAAUAUGUUUAUAGCAUUGAGCAUGUAGCACAGCUCUGCACAUAAUUGUAUAUGUUCUCUUUCUCACCCUUUGCAGGUCUUCUUUGACCUGGAGACCACGGGAUUGGGUAGGCCAACGGCAAACAGACACAUUUUCAUCAAUUAUCUCUCAAUAGUUUAAUCAGGCCAUGGCCCGCUCAGAUCGAUUUGUAUACGACAUAAUAUACCAAAAACUUUUGUACAUGUAAAUCUGUCUCCUAUUGUAAUAUUACAUGUCCUGCCCCUCUGAAAGCAUUAAAGGUCAUAACUGCAUGCUUUUCGUUAAGUCUCCGAGAACUCCACAUUUCACAGCCAACUUCCGGUGAUUAUAUGCUAAACCGCUUGCUGUUUCAUUUUAGAGCUAUUCUGUGUCUCAACUUUUUUGUCUACUCUUUAAUGCAGACUUGCGCACGCACUCACUCAUGCACACACACUCGCUCACUCACUCCCCUCCCCCUCUCUCAGACACCAAGUGAUGUGAUAUCAUCCAGCUGGCGGCCAUCAGUGGAAAUUGCACCUUCAACAUGUACAUGAUGCCUCAGGUCGCCAUGGAAAGAGGGGACACGGCGGUCCCAGGCUUCAGGGUCCAUAAUGCGAACUCUUCUAGAACGGUCUUUUUUGACCUGGAGACCACGGGAUUGGGUAGGCCUACGGCAAACAGACACAUUUUCAUCAAUUAUCUCUCAAUAGUUUAAUCAGGCCAUGGCCCGCUCAGAUCGAUUUGUAUACGACAUAAUAUACCAAAAACUUUUGUACAUGUAAAUCUGUCUCCUAUUGUAAUAUUACAUGUCCUGCCCCUCUGAAUGCAUUAAAGGUCAUAACUGCAUGCUUUUCGUUAAGUCUCCGAGAACUCCACAUUUCACAGCCAACUUCCGGUGAUUAUAUGCUAAACCGCUUGCUGUUUCAUUUUAGAGCUAUUCUGUGUCUCAACUUUUUUGUCUACUCUUUAAUGCAGACUUGCGCACGCACUCACUCAUGCACACACACUCGCUCACUCACUCCCCUCCCCCUCUCUCAGACACCAAGCGAUGUGAUAUCAUCCAGCUGGCGGCCAUCAGCGGAAAUUGCACCUUCAACAUGUACAUGAUGCCUCAGGUCGCCAUCGAAAGAGGGGACACGGCGGUCCCAGGCUUCAGGGUCCAUAAUGCGAAC